AAUAACAGUUGUCACAAACUCAUAACAACUACGACUGAUAGUCUCCUGUGCGAACGUUUUACGGAAUACACUGGAUUCCUGUGCGGACAUUUCCGGAAUAAAGUGGGAAAAUGGCAUUGGUUCCUGUGUUUUUGCCUUUUCUCCUGUGUGUAGCAUUACUGUCUGGGGGAUGUUUGACAGAAGUUUCAGGACUUGCUGCUCUAAAAAGAGAGGACGUUAGUCAUAGAGGGAUGGUGUAUAUCAAACUUCCCGAUGCUAAAAUUACAAGGAGGAGGGCUGCUGAAGCAUUACCUUCACUACCCGGGAAAUGAGGACUUGUUACAAAAGGAAUGAAUUAUCUCAUAACUGAAAAUGUUUUAUUGUUUAUAUCGA